AGGAGAGUGACAAUCCAUAUGCAGUUCCGAUUAGCAUGGGUAUCUUUAAAGUUUUGGAAAGCCCACUGGAUAUCACAACUACCACGAUAAUCAGAAGGAUUGUUGCAAAUCAUGAGGCAUACCAGAAGCGAAACGAGAAAAAGGCAGCUAGUGAGAAAAAGUAUUAUGAAGGCAAGACUUUCUUGUCUGAUGAUUGAUUGAUGUAUCAGACCAUCUGGUGCACAUAGGUUGGUGGAUGCAUAUUUACUAAAGUAGUGAAUGGAUUUAUCAGUGUAUUAACAUGAUGGAUGACUCGAUAGAGAUAAGUGAUUGAAGAUCAUAUGCGAUUGCUGAGUCAAUCUUGUCACGGAAUUCUGUACUUCUAAUUUUGGACCACACUUUGUUGGAAUUAGAUUCCAAGGCGAUAAUUGAGAGUUUAGGGUAGAGGUUCAGCCUGUCAUAUGUAUAAGAGCUUGCUUCAGUUUUAUGCAUUACUGAUUUUAUUGUACCCAUUAAAGUGCUUCUACUCAGAUGAAAAGAGCAAUUCUGUCUGCUAUGUUUGUUGUCAUUGGCAGCCCCUUUUUCCUUUUAAUUAGGUUAGCAGAAAGAGGAUUGAAUGUGAAUUCUCUGUUUUCUGGGAAAUAAAUAUUAGAAAGAAAAUUUUUCUUCUUCUUC